GAUGAACGCUGGCGGCGUGCCUAACACAUGCAAGUCGAGCGAGGGGAGUUCUUCGGAACAAACCUAGCGGCGGACGGGUGAGUAACACGUGGGCAACCUGCCUCAUAGAGGGGAAUAGCCUUCCGAAAGGGAGAUUAAUACCCCAUAAGAUUGUAGCUUCGCAUGAAGUAGCAAUUAAAGGAGCAAUCCGCUAUGAGAUGGGCCCGCGGCGCAUUAGCUAGUAGGUGAGGUAACGGCUCACCAAGGCGACGAUGCGUAGCCGACCUGAGAGGGGGAUCGGCCACAUUGGGACUGAGACACGGCCCAGACUCAUACGGGAGGCAGCAGUGGGGAAUAUUGCACAAUAGGGGAAACCCUGAUGCAGCAACGCCGCGUGAGUGAUGAAGGCCUUCGGGUUGUAAAGCUCUGUCUUCAGGGACGAUAAUGACGGUACCUGAGGAGGAAGCCACGGCUAACUACGUGCCAGCCGCCGCCGAA
rnacentral:rRNA from 1 species